GACGAACGCUGGCGGCGUGCCUAAUACAUGCAAGUCGAGCGGACUGAAUGGGAGCUUGCUCUUGUUCGGUCAGCGGCGGACGGGUGAGUAACACGUGGGCAACCUGCCCGCAAGACCGGGAUAACUCCGGGAAACCGGAGCUAAUACCGGAUAACACCGAAGACCGCAUGGUCUUGGGUUGAAAGGCGGCGCAAGCUGCCACUUGCGGAUGGGCCCGCGGCACAUUAGCUAGUUGGUGAGGUAACGGCUCACCAAGGCGACGAUGCGUAGCCGGCCUGAGAGGGUGACCGGCCACACUGGGACUGAGACACGGCCCAGACUCCUACGGGAGGCAGCAGUAGGGAAUCUUCCGCAAUGGGCGAAAGCCUGACGGAGCGACGCCGCGUGAGCGAAGAAGGCCUUCGGGUCGUAAAGCUCUGUUGUGAGGGACGAAGGAGCGCCGUUUGAAGAAGGCGGCGCGGUGACGGUACCUCACGAGGAAGCCCCGGCUAACUACGUG
rnacentral:rRNA from 1 species